rnacentral:rRNA from 1 species
AUGUCUAAAUUCUACUGGACAAUGCUUAUUUGGCAAGAUGCUCAUGGGUUAAGUUAUUUGAUGCAUUGCUUUCACUAUCAAAUUGUUUGCUACUUUGAGCAUCUGGCUGCAUACUGUAUUGUUUUAUAUUUGGUGCACUGGACCAAGAGCGCACAGAGGGAGAUCUUCUCUGCCGCGCCGGCGGCAGCAACAGGGAAAAUCCAGUCCACGGUGCCACCAAUGAGAAAGGCUAGAGCUGUGGUGCAAUCAGCAUGUCGAGUAUUUGACGAAAGGGCUCGAUGCCGAGUAUUGCUUCUCCAAUGUAAAAUUAACUCGAGUGUCGUCACUGGUUAUUAUUUUGCUUGA